CCUACGGGAGGCAGCAGUGAGGAAUAUUGGUCAAUGGCCGAAAGUCUGAACCAGCCAAGUCGCGUGAAGGAAGACUGCUCUAUGGGUUGUAAACUUCUUUUAUAUGGGAAUAAAAUGAUCCACGUGUGGGAAUUUGUAUGUACCCUAUGAAUAAGGAUCGGCUAACUCCGUGCCAGCAGCCGCGGUAAUACGGAGGAUCCGAGCGUUAUCCGGAUUUAUUGGGUUUAAAGGGAGCGUAGGUGGUUUUUUAAGUCAGUUGUGAAAGUUUGGGGCUCAACCGUAAAAUUGCAGUUGAAACUGGCAGUCUGGAGGACAGUAGAGGAGGGCGGAAGUCUGGGG
rnacentral:rRNA from 1 species